AAGGCCAUUGGGUAAUGUCGUUCUCUGAUAAAUCAACAGCAUAAGGUUUAUUUUGACGUCAGUAACUGCUGUAACCUCUCGCCGGUAGUCGAGUAAAAUAUGUCAAUAAACAUGUCACCGUGCGGCUCAACUUUGCAAGAACAGCUUUCGUCCAUAAUGGAGGUACUUUCGAAAGCGGCUGUAUCUGAAAUUAGCCAGCUGUUCUCAGACGGAUCGGCUACUCUUCAGUUACAAAUAAUUCAGAGCAGCAAAGAAAACCAAGUGCUGAGGAUGAGGAUGAAGGUGAUGAGGAGUGAACUUUUUUCUCUGCGGCUUCAAACAAGAUCGAUUGCAUCGCGUGCGGCGAGUCGUUUUCCCCUGAAUCGAGCCAACCUCUGCAAACCACGGACUAAAUCAAUGGGAAAUUGCCUAAAGCCCCUGAUUGACCACAAGGCGGUUGGACAUUCCCCUUUUUAUUCACCAUCCAAAAGUGAGGCUUCGUCAGUUAUAAGUCCAGCAGAGGAGACCCCUGACAUAAUUUCAAUCAAGAUUGAAGAGGAUAUCAGUAGAUGCAGGCCAGACGGUGAGUCAUACAUAUUGCAGCAUAGAGUUAGGCUACUAGAUUCUACCUACCCUAAAAGGCGCAUCAUGACCAGAGCCCUGAUAAAACACAAGUAAAACUUGGGAGUUGCAUUUCAAAGAUGGAAACAGUCAAGAGCCAAGAAGGGCUUCAAGCAGGAUGCCACAUAACUGGUUAUCAGUUGAUUCCAGUCAUACAGUGGUAAGAACAUGUUUAUGCACCCAUGUGAAAGUAUACUAAAAAAUCCUCUUUUGGAAAUCGAUCUUAAUGCCUUAUUUAAAAUGAGGAAAAAUCCAACCUUUUAGGCCACCAAUUUUCUUUGUGAAUGAAUAAUGUAUCGUAAAUAAAUAAAUGUUCUUCAUUAAAAUACAGGGUGCAUAAACAUAGGAACCCCUAUGAUAAAUUCCAAUAGAGGCAGGCAGAUUAUUUUUUUAAGGGGAAUUUAUUUCAUGGAUCCAGGAGAGGAUGAUGUGGGGCUAUUUUAAUUCCAAAGGUAGGAGACUUAAUCCGAACGCAUAGUAUCCUGGAUCGAUUAAAUAAAUGGCUUUGUUCCCCCUCUUAGAUGUUUUUUUUUUUUUUUAAACCUUUCUAUUUUUAACAAAACUGCUUAUCUUAGUUAUUUUGCUCACCCCAAAAUUUUAUGUUUUUAUUCUCCUUGUGUUUUUUAAUCUGUAGCCCUUUGAGAUCUUUGGACGAAAAGGAAAGUAUAAAUAAAAUGUAUAAUUAUUAUUAUCAUUCUCAAACAUAAAUAAAUGUAAAACUAUAAAAAAUGUAAAUGUUAGAUCAUCAGCUUACAGGGAAUGGCCUGUUGUCUCUUGUCGUUGUCAAUAUACAAUAAUUGUCUCGCAUGUAAUGUUGUAAAGCUUAUUUUGCACUGGUGUU